rnacentral:rRNA from 1 species
UACGUAGGGUGCAAGCGUUAAUCGGAAUUACUGGGCGUAAAGCGUGCGCAGGCGGUUGUGCAAGACAGAUGUGAAAUCCCCCGGGCUCAACCUGGGAACUGCAUUUGUGACUGCACGGCUGGAGUGCGGCAGAGGGGGGAUGGAAUUCCGCGUGUAGCAGUGAAAUGCGUAGAUAUGCGGAGGAACACCGAUGGCGAAGGCAAUCCCCUGGGCCUGCACUGACGCUCAUGCACGAAAGCGUGGGGAGCGAA